rnacentral:rRNA from 1 species
UACGUAGGUGACAAGCGUUGUCCGGAUUUACUGGGCGUAAAGAGCGCGCAGGCGGUCGUUCAAGUCGGGUGUGAAAGCCCCCGGCUCAACUGGGGAGGGUCACGCGAUACUGAUCGACUCGAAGGCAGGAGAGGGUAGUGGAAUUCCCGGUGUAGUGGUGAAAUGCGUAGAUAUCGGGAGGAACACCUGUGGCGAAAGCGGCUCACUGGACCACAACUGACGCUGAGGCGCGAAAGCUAGGGGAGCAAACAGG